AUACGUAGGGGGCAAGCGUUAUCCGGAUUUACUGGGUGUAAAGGGAGCGUAGACGGUGUGACAAGUCUGAUGUGAAAACCCGGGGCUCAACUCCGGGAUUGCAUUGGAAACUGCCAUACUUGAGUGCAGGAGAGGUAAGCGGAAUUCCUAGUGUAGCGGUGAAAUGCGUAGAUAUUAGGAGGAACACCGGCGGCGAAGGCGGCUUACUGGACUGUAACUGACGUUGAGGCUCGAAAGCGUGGGGAGCAAACAGGAUUAGAUACCCUGGUAGUCCACGCGGUAAACGAUGAAUACUAGGUGUUGGGGGUCUAUAGACCCUCGGUGCCGCAGCGAACGCAAUAAGUAUUCCACCUGGGGAGUACGUUCGCAAGAAUGAAACUCAAAGGAAUUGACGGGG
rnacentral:rRNA from 1 species